AAAAGGCUUUUUUUGUCAACAUCCGUUGACCGGCCGUUAUUUGUAGGUAGAAAUUUUCUAGUGUAAAUUUUAUACAUUUUUUAACCUAGGAGCCGUUGCGAAAAAUGCAACUAUACUCUAUGGGUCCAUCUGGUAGGAAUCUAACCUGUAGCCCUGCGAUUCCGCUGCAGCGCUCUAAAACCUGGAGUCACGCCUCACGAUCUUUCUCAACGGCCAGUUUAUUACAGUCUAUUAUACCUGUAAACAUAACCACAUAUAAACCAUAAGUAUUCUCUUGUUAUAAUCGCUCCGCGUAUUUUCAAUUCCGAAAUGUUGUAUUUGGGCUGAUGAGAAAGAUCGUGACUCAAUCUUUACGACCGUUACGACCAUAUGGAGAUCAGAACCUGAACUUUAAUAGUUUAGUAUGGAAAAAGGUAAUUCAAUAAAUUAAUUUAAGAGGAGGAAAAAACUCUAUUAGAUAACAAAAACAUUCAUAAUAAAAAAUCUCUUGUUCGUCGCUGUUGUUUCAUCUUCAAUUGGGUUGUUGCUGUUGUUUUUCUACUUUUUGCUGGUCAUUUACGGUCUUUCGUUGUGGCACGUGUUCGCUUCAAUGCAAACGUAGCUUUAUAUUUCAAAGAGAUCCAUAUUAAAAUAUUCUUUAACAUCGUUUGCCAGUAAUUGACAAUCUUGGACAGCUUCGUCGCACCU